rnacentral:rRNA from 1 species
AGCGAACGCUGGCGGCAGGCCUAACACAUGCAAGUCGAGCGGAUGAGAAGAGCUUGCUCUUCGAUUCAGCGGCGGACGGGUGAGUAAUGCCUAGGAAUCUGCCUGGUAGUGGGGGACAACGUUUCGAAAGGAACGCUAUACCGCAUACGUCCUACGGGAGAAAGCAGGGGACCUUCGGGCCUUGCGCUAUCAGAUGAGCCUAGGUCGGAUUAGCUAGUUGGUGAGGUAAUGGCUCACCAAGGCGACGAUCCGUAACUGGUCUGAGAGGAUGAUCAGUCACACUGGAACUGAGACACGGUCCAGACUCCUACGGGAGGCAGCAGUGGGGAAUAUUGGGCAAUGGGCGGAAGCCUGAUCCAGCCAUGCCGCGUGUGUGAAGAAGGUCUUCGGAUUGUAAAGCACUUUAAGUUGGGAGGAAGGGCAGUAAGUUAAUACCUUGCUGUUUUGACGUUACCGACAGAAUAAGCACCGGCUAACUCUGUGCCAGCAGCCGCCGUAAUAC